GACGAACGCUGGCGGCGUGCUUAACACAUGCAAGUCGAACGGAAAGGCCCUGCUUGCAGGGUACUCGAGUGGCGAACGGGUGAGUAACACGUGGGUGAUCUGCCCUGCACUUCGGGAUAAGCCUGGGAAUCUGGGUCUAAUACCGGAUAGGAGCCAUUUUUAGUGUGAUGGUUGGAAAGUUUUUUCGGUGUAGGAUGAGCUCGCGGCCUAUCAGCUUGUUGGUGGGGUAAUGGCCUACCAAGGCGGCGACGGGUAGCCGGCCUGAGAGGGUGGACGGCCACAUUGGGACUGAGAUACGGCCCAGACUCCUACGGGAGGCAGCAGUGGGGAAUAUUGCACAAUGGGCGCAAGCCUGAUGCAGCGACGCCGCGUGGGGGAUGACGGCCUUCGGGUUGUAAACUCCUUUCGCUAGGGACGAAGCUUUUUGUGACGGUACCUAGAUAAGAAGCACCGGCUAACUACGUG
rnacentral:rRNA from 1 species